GUUUCAGGGUUGGGUGAGAUUCCCUACCGGCGGUAACUGGCCAACAUCCCGCGUGCAGUGAAAGGAAGCCGCGCGCCGCGCCAGGAGCCCGCGAGCCGCACAUGCGGCCGAUCCGGUGAGAUUCCGGAGCCGACGGUACAGUCCGGAUGGAAGAAA
rnacentral:ncRNA from 1 species